GGAGACUUUUUCCAAACUUUCUUCCCGGGGGCCAUCCUCUCACCUGUCAUACACAGAAAAGUGAAUUCUUGUUAUCAGAAAGGGGCCCAAUCCAGAUCCCAAGAGAAGGCUCUUGGAUCUCACACAAGAAAGUAUUCCAGUAUUUGUACAGUUGAGCCGAAAUGCCUGUUCUAACAAAGAGAGCCUGGGUGGGACUGCCAAGAUGAAUAGACAUAAUCCUCGAUCUAACCACUUCACAGUUUAUCAUCGGAGUCAAGUUUGCAGAUAAACAAUUGCCAUGCAACUUUCAAGAGACGGGGUGUCAUCCUGUUGCUCAGGCUGGUCUCAAACUCCUGGCCCUAAGUGAUCCUCCUGCCUCAGCCUCUCAAAGUGCUGGGAUUACGGGUGUGAACCUAAUCGCAGAGAAAAUGGUGCCUGAGAUGAGCAAGGUCAGCAGACAAGAAGUGAGGUCAAUGUCAGGUUUCCAUGCCAGCAGCGGGAACUCUGGAUACAGUGGAGAGUCACAGCUGGUCAAACCCUGAACCGCUUGCUCCUUGAAAUGGCCAGAGAGGCCCAUCCCAGAGCCAUCUCAUCAUCUCUCCUCAGACAGGAAACCGAGAAGGAAAACAAUCAGCUCUGUUCUCUCUGGGCCGAGGGAGUGAGCUGUAAUGAGGGAGCACAGGAACGCAUUGGGCGCCCUCAGACCUGAACACACAGGUUAGCACCACCUGCCUGGCUGACCUGGCUCACAGUUGAGAAUAACUCAUCCAGGGUUGUUGAAUGGUGGAGGAUCUUCCAAAAUCAGCAGCUAGGAGGUCGAGAACCCUUCAUGCCAUACUAAGAAGUUUCAUGCUAGGCAAAGAAGAGUGACAAGAGGUACACAAAGAAGGAUUACCACAGGAAAUCCAGAGAGGCUUUAGAAGACGAGCUUGCGUUGAGAUAGAAGCCGGAAGCCCACUUAGCCAACUGCCUCCAUGGGACUUGGCAUGAGGCAGGCUUAUGACAGUAAAUGCUACACUGCCCUCAGUGAAAAAGAGAAUUUGGCAUUCAUUCUUCUGAACCCGCCAUCCCUCAGCCUUGGCGCCUGGGAAUUCUGCGAAUCGUUGCCUGUGGCAGUGACACUGAUUUGUAUCUGGGUAUGAACUUAAAUGAAAACAUGAAUUGAACUCAUUACUUGAGGAAGGAAACACUGCCAAAUUUAACAGGAUGAAAUUCCAGCAGGGUGUAAGGUUUUAUGGGGCUACAGUGGAAUAUCUCAUAGAAAGGUUUCCAGUUCAUAAAACACUUUCAAAACAUGCUCGGC
ensembl:lncRNA LNC-LBCS lncRNA bladder and prostate cancer suppressor, hnRNPK interacting